AAGGCAACAAUCUAAAAAGAUGUAUUUUUUCAUAUUCACUGACAGCUUUCAAGCCCCACCUCUUCUCUUCCCUGUGGCCUACAAUGUGGGAAAACUGAUAAGAUGGCUCCUUUGGUGCUAGCAGAAAGUUCAAACCAUUCGAGACCCAGCCCACUUAAGGGAAACUUCACUCUGGUCCUAGCCAUCAAUCACCAUAAAACCCUAAGACAGUCUCCUUUCUCUUCUCCCUUAGGUUAUAUUUGUACCAGCCUAGGAGCCUGCCCAGCUCUCCACAGAAAGCUUCUGUGUUUUCAGUUACCCAUGGUCAACCGCGAGCCAGAAGCAGAUGAUCCUCUUUCUGACAUACUCUCGGAAGGUCUGACAGGCAACUUUGGACCACAUCCAGUCUUGUUGAGGUGCCCGUGUUGUCCUGCAAGAUAUCAAUUCAAACAAGUCUUCCCUGACUCCCAAGACAGGUUCUGAUCCCACAUCACAUGCUCCCAAAGCCUGUUCAUGACAAGUAAGUACAUUUGUGGGAUUAUAAGACUAGUGUUGUUUUUUUUUUCACUUUUAGAUUAUAAACUCUUUCAGGACGUAGGCCCUGUCUGGUUUUUGUUUACUAUUGUAUCUAUAGAACCUAACUGCAUGCCUGGUACAUAGUAAACUAGUAAUAAAUAUUUUGAAAAAUAAAUAAAUUAACUUAGUCUGGAGCAUAAGUCCAUAAGCUUAAGCUUACGACUUUUUUUUUUGUCACUAACCAAAACAUAAUAGCUUGAUCUAGACGAUGUUGACUUCAUAGGGGUCUGUGAUUCUCAUGGUCACUCUAGUGUUGUGACAACAGGGUUUAAUGUUAAUGUUGAAGACAAUGGUAUUAAUAUGGUAUAGUCAGAAGCCUUGUUGAAGACUUUGGAAUCCUAGUUUGAAUCAUGAGAGGUUUAGCAAAUUUGUUCUCCAAAGUGAAAGUGGAUCCCUUAUUACUCUUUAUUCAAAAAAAGGAAGGGGUGGAGCUUUGGAAUCAUUUAUAGAAAUACAUGAUACAUAACAAUAAAAAUGUAUUAACAUAAAUGAGGAAAAGGGGCAAAGAGUAAGUUAAAAAGUAGAAAAAUACUGGGGUGCCUGGGUGACUUAAUUGAGCAUCCUACUUCGGCUCAGGUCCUGAUCUUAUGGUCCAUGAGUUUGAGCCCUACAUUGGGCUCUCUGCUGUCAGCACAGAGCCCACUUUGGAUCUUCUGUCCCUCUCUCUCUGUGUCCCUCCCCCACUUGCUCUCUCUCUCUCAAAAAUAAGUAAGACAUUUUUAAAAAGCAGAAAAAUAGGGGUGUCUGGGUGUUUAAGUGUCCAAUUUCGGCUCAGGUCAUGAUCUCACAGUUUGUGAGUUCAAGUCCCACAUCAGGCUCUGUGCUGACAGCCCAGAGGCUGGAACCUGCCUCAGAUUCUGUGUCUCCCUCUCUUCUCUUCCCCAUUCCUACUCUCUCUCUCUCUCUCUCUCUCUCAAAAAUAAACAUGAAAAAAUUUAAUUAAUGUAAUAUAAUGUAUAAUAUAGUAUAAUGUAUAACAUCCAGGCACUGAAAUUCAUCCUUGUACUUCUGUAUAGGCAGUAGGAAGCACACAAAUUUGGCUUAGAGUUGCAUAGUAGUGAAGGGAAAGCAGAGCUACUGCAAGAUUUAUAGUGUGAAUAGCAAAAGAUAAAAGAGGACCAGAUGCUCAGGAAGAAACACAGCUUUUCCUAUAUUAUUGUGAUAUCUAGAUAAUGUUCUCAAUAACAAUCCUACCAUAUAUACAAUGAUAGAUGUAAUGUGGUUGUUUCUUAAAACACCUCUCAGUGUACACUCAAGGCACAAUGACAAAAUAUAGGACAGAAAAGGGCAUGUCCUGAGGGAGAUGGAUGUUGAGACAAUGCGGCCCCAGAAAUCUCUCCAAGGAUCUAUCUCCAAACCUGACAGAAUUUAAAUGUCUGGAGAAGGAGCCCAUUCCCAUUGGGCCAUUCUCCCUGGAUGUGAUUUUUAUAGCAAAACUUUUGCUAAUAAUUCAACACCAGAUAACUCAAGGUUAUAUUUUCUGAGAAGAAUCUAGGGGCGCUUGGGUGGCUCAGUCAGUUGUAGAUCAGUCAGUUAAGUGUCCGACUCUUGAUUUUGGCUUAGGUCAUGAUCUCAUGGUUCACGAGUUCGAGCCCCAUGUCGGGCUCUGCACUGACACCACAGCACCUGUUUGGGAUUCUCUCUCUCCCUCUCUUUCUGCUUGCACUUUCUCUCUCUCUUUCUCCCUCUCUAUCUCUCUCUCAAAUUAAAUAAAUAAACACUUAAAAAUAAUCUAAAAUAUAGAAGUUGUAUGGUAUAAUUAAGCAUAAUCAACAUAGAAUUAAUACCCUUUAUGAAAGGAAAACAUCUAACCAGUAUGCCAAAAUAUAAAGCCACCAAACUUUUGCAUGGAGGUAGAACUAGAAAAUGCAGGGCAAAGAUUUUCCUCAGAUUAUAUUUUUGGGUCUAUUUCAGCAUACACACCUAACAGGCAUACAGGACUAAUUCACAGCAGGAAUAAUUUUUUUAAGAGAGCUUUAAUUCCAAGAGUAUAAGCACUCAUGAAAUAUCCAAAAGACACAGAAAGUCUUCCUACCCUCAUCUUCUCUAUUCUAACUGCCUGUGGGUAACCAUGGAUGGUUUCUUGUGUCUCCUUCCAGACCUUUGUCUAUGUGCAAUCCUGAGAAAAUCCAUGGGGGAGAUAGAGGGGAUCCUGAUGCCCCUAACACUGUUAUAUAAUGAUUCUGUGUGUGUGUGUGUGUGUGUGUGUGUGUGUGUGUGUGUGUCUUUCUUUCUGUCUCUCUCUCUGUAUCUCUCUCUGUGUCUCUCUGUCCCUUUCUCUCUCUCUUCAUGGAAAGGAGGUAAGAUGAACAGGCUGUAACUGUUGUCUAUUAUUCUUAAGGUACACCAAGAUCUGUGGUCCUUCCAAGAAGAUAGGACUCAUCUUUGCAAUAAAGGAAAAUUUAUGAAGCAUCCAUAAAAACCCUGCUUUAAGCUUCUUAGUAUAAAAAGCAAUGCUUGUUUUUUGUGUUUCUACAAAAGACUGAGGAGAAACCUGUCAGUCCCUCAGGGUCUCAAGUAAGAGGCCAAGACUGGCCAUCACCAUGGAUUCAUAACUUUUGAAAGUAAUAGAAAUCAUCCGAACAUCUUCCUGUUUUGGAACAUUUGUUUGCUUAGUUUGGCAGGGGUUUGGCGGAGGGAAAGGACAUCCCUCCUGUUGUUGAUGCUCAUUGGCUAGCUAAAAGAACUCACUCUGGGGCCCAGUCCCAUAUAGAUCAUUGAGCAAGCUCACCUUCAGGUGAACAGGCAAGGGUAGUGUGGUUAGUAUCAAAGCUUUGACUGGUUGAAUUACAAAAUAUCACACAUGCACACAUACACAGACACAUACACAUGCACACUCCUCAUUUGCAAUAAAACAAAACAAAACUAACCUCUUUUACAACUCUCUCUCUUAGUAUCCUUUCGUUUGUGUCUCAUUGUGAUUAAAAAAAAUUUUUUUUUUAUUUUAGAGAGAGCGUGCAUGAGUGGGGAGAGGGGCAGAGGGAGAGAGAGAGAAUCUCAUGCAGGCUUCAUGCUCAGAGCAGAGCCCAAAUGGGUGGGGGGAGGGGUUGGUCCCACAACCCUCGGAUCAUGACCAGAGCUGAAAUCAAGAGUCUGACGUUCAACAGACUGAGCCAUCCAGGCGCCCCUAGUUAAAAAUUUUUUAAAACCUCACAUUAACUAUCCAUAACACUAACUUCCUUACUUCCUUCAAGUCCUUGGUAAACUAUCACUUUUACAAAUUUUAAAUACCUUUAUUGAGGUGUAAGUGGUAUACAGUAAACUGUACAUGUUUGAAAUGUACAAUUUGAUGUUUUAAUGUAUGUAGAUACCUGUGAAGCAAUCACCACAGUCAAAAUAGGCAAUGUAUUCAUCACUUAUACAAGUUUUCAUGUCCCUAUGGAUCCUCUCCCUAGCUACUCCCUAACCAGGUAACCACUAAUCUAUUUUCUAUCGCCAUAGAUUAGUUUGCAUUGUCUAGAGUUUUAAUAACACAGUAUGUAUGUACACUUUUUAUUUUAUUUUAGUCAGAAUUCUUUUACUUACCAUAAUUAUUUUGAGAUUCAUUCACGUUGUUGUAUGUAUCAAUAGUUCAUUGUGUUCUAUUCUGAGUAGUACACCAUUGUAUGGCUAUAUCACAAUUUGUUUGCACAUUUAUCCAUUAACAUUUGGGUUGUUCCAACUUUUUGACUAUUACAAAUAAAUCUGUUAUGAACACUCAGGUACAAGUAUUUGUAUACACUUAUGUUGACUUUCCUCUUGGGUAAAUACCUAGGAGUUUGGCUUGAUCAUGUGAUAAGUGUAUAUUUAACUUCUUAAAAGACUUCCAAACCAGUUGAUAUUGUCUUAUAUUCCCAUAAACAGAGUAUGAAGUUUCAGUUUUUCCACAUCAUUGUCAAUAUUUCAUAUUAUCUUUUUUUUAAGAAAUAAUAGGUUUUUUUAAAAAAAGUUUUUAGUAUUUAUUUUUGAGAGAGAGAGAGAGAAACAGGGCACAAGCAGGGGAGGAGCAGAGAGAGAGGGAGACACAGAAUCCAAAACAGGCUCCAGGCUCUGAGCUGUCAGCACAGAGCCUGAUGUGGGGCUCGAACCCAUGGACCAUAAGAUCAUGACCUGAUACGAAGUCAGAUGCCCAACCAACUGAGCCACCCAGGCACCCUGAUACUUCAUAUCUAUUUUUUCAUUAUAAUGGCUGCAUAGUGGUAGGUAUGGUUUUAAUUUGCAUUUCCCUAAUGACUAAUAAUAUUGAGCAUCUUUUUAUGUGCUUUUUUGCCAUCCAUAUAUUUUCUUUGGUGAAGAUAUUCAAAUCUUUUGCUCAUUUUUUAUUGGAUUAUUUGUCUCUUUAUUCAGUUUCUCCUAGUCAGUGGCUUGCAUUUUUAUUUCCUAAACAAUAUCUUUUGAAGAUAAAAAUGUUUAAUUUUGAUGAAGUCUAAUUUAUUGCUUUUAUUUUAUGGAUUAUUCUUUUGGUAUUAUAUCUUAGAAAUGUCUACCUAACUUAAGAUCACAAACAUUUUACACUGUUUUUUCAGAAGCAUAAUUUUUUUAGAUUUUACAUCUAGGUUAUGGUCCAUUUUGAGUUCAUUUCUGCAUAUAGCAUGAGGUAUAGAUUGUUUUUAAUGUUUAUUUAUUUUGGAGAGAGAGAAAGAGACAGAGUGUGAGCAGGGAGGGGCAGAAAGAGAGGGAGACACAGAAUCCGAAGCAGGCUCCAGACUCUGAGCAGUCAGCACAGAGCCCUAUGCGAGGCUUGAACUCACAAACCGUGAGAUCAUGACUUAAGCUAAAGUCGGACGUGUAACCAACUGAGCCAUCCAGGCUCCCCCCGCCUUUUUUUAAAUGUUUAUUUAUUUUGGAGAGAGAUAGAGAGAGACAGAGUACGAGCAGGGGAGGGCAGAGAGAGAGGGAGGUAUGAAGUAUAGAUUUAAGUUCAUUGGUUUGUAUCUGGAUAUACAGUUAUUCCAACACCAUUUAUUGAAAAGACUCUCGUUUUUCACUGAAUUUACUUUGUACGUUUGUUGAAAAUCAGUUGUCCAUAAUAUAUGGUGUUUUUCCCAAAGUAUCUAUUGUAUUAAUUUAUUUGUCUGUCUUUACACCAAUAUCACAUAGUCUUGAAUAGUGUAACUUUAUAAGAAGUCUUGAAUUUGGGUAAUAUUUACUCUCCAACUUUGUUCUUUUUUUCUUUUUUCAAAAUUGUUUG